AAUGUUAGAUAACUGCAUGUUAUAAAGUUUCGAUCAUCUAAGCAUCCCUAGUAAACUGGUGUGAAGGAAGAAGGUUCGAAUUCUAAGAAAUCGGAAGGAUCACAAGACCGAGGUAAAUCCUCGACUUAGGCGUAUGGACGGCUUGGAACGUGCACACUUGAUCUACGCCCGCCUCACGCUUCCGUUACAAAUUAUUUUGAAAUGGGUUAAGUUUUUGGUCAUAUGUACUUUAAGUCUAUGUAGUAUGUUGAUACU